rnacentral:misc_RNA from 1 species
UUUCCGUAGGUGAACCUGCGGAAGGAUCAUUACAGAGAUCAUGCGCGAAAGGCUAGACCUCCCACCCUUGUGUAUUAUUAAUUUUUUGCUUUGGCGGGCACAAGCUCGCCAGAGAAUCCCAAAACUCUCUUUAUUAAUGUCGUCUGAGUACUAUAUAAUAGUUAAAACUUUCAACAACGGAUCUCUUGGUUCUG